CGCUUUCCUGAAAUGAAAACAAGGAAAUGAUUACACAAUGUUUUCUAUGUGACUUGAAUACAAUUUCUCAUAUUUGACAACUUUUUUCAGCGUCAUAUUCAAUGUCAUUGAUUGUGUUCCUGUUUAAAAGAUUUGCAACGUAAACCCCAAACAAACUUUUGUCAUCGUUUUCCAUUAAUCAAAGUCAUCAUCGGAAGGAAAACGACGUGGAAUUCUGCUCGGACCGACAUCGAUGAAGAAGCGCAAUCGGCUUCCCGGGACGGACGCUGAGAAUUCCACGAGGUGAGCCUGCUCCGGACUUCCUUCCGACCAACACAACAUUUGCUUUUUUAAAACUACAUGUUCACAAAUGAAAUGGUCUGCGCUUCUUUUAAGGCGAAUCUCUGAAAGUCCUUCAAGACCAUCAGCAAGCGGGCCGGUUCCUUCACGGCCCCACUAUGUGUAGGGACAAGUCUGAAUUUACAACCGCGGUAGCAUGUUGCACAGCUCCUGGAGGACUUACUGUAACCCCUCAUUUAUCCCAAGACAUAUGCGUACCCCCGCAUCCAGUGCGUCUGUACUGAGUACAAUUUAACACGAGUUAGAAUAUUCAGAUAAUAAUUCAGUUCACAGCCACCUCUCCAGAACAAGAGGGUUGCAUCGGCAACGUGGGAAGGUUUCAAAAUCGAGUAUCGUGAAUAUAGGGGGAAAAAAAAUAAGGCCUGUUAGACAAAAUCAAUGUCAGACUCACAUUUUGUGGGGCGAGCUGCUCUUUGGCUGGACUGGACUCCAAUGAAUGCCCAAGAAAUCUCCACCCGCCUCAAUUUCAUGGCGUGUACAGCUAACUUGAGUCAAGUAA